rnacentral:rRNA from 1 species
GAUGAACGCUGGCGGCGCGCCUAACACAUGCAAGUCGAACGGCACCCCUCCUCGGAGGGAAGCGAGUGGCGAACGGCUGAGUAACACGUGGAGAACCUGCCCCCUCCCCCGGGAUAGCCGCCCGAAAGGACGGGUAAUACCGGAUACCCCGGGGUGCCGCAUGGCACCCCGGCUAAAGCCCCGACGGGAGGGGAUGGCUCCGCGGCCCAUCAGGUAGACGGCGGGGUGACGGCCCACCGUGCCGACAACGGGUGGCCGGGUUGAGAGACCGACCGGCCAGAUGGGGACUGAGACACGGCCCAGACUCCUACGGGAGGCAGCAGUGGGGAAUCUUGCGCAAGGGGGGGAACCCUGACGCAGCGACGCCGCGUGCGGGACGGAGGCCUUCGGGUCGUAAACCGCUUUCAGCAGGGAAGAGUCAAGACUGUACCUGCAGAAGAAGCCCCGGCUAACUACGUG